GCGGAGGGAUCAUUACUGAGUUUACGCUCUACAACCCUUUGUGAACAUACCUAUAACUGUUGCUUCGGCGGGUAGGGUCUCCGCGACCCUCCCGGCCUCCCGCCUCCGGGCGGGUCGGCGCCCGCCGGAGGAUAACCAAACUCUGAUUUAACGACGUUUCUUCUGAGUGGUACAAGCAAAUAAUCAAAACUUUUAACAACGGAUCUCUUGGUUCUGGCAUCGAUGAAGAACGCAGCGAAAUGCGAUAAGUAAUGUGAAUUGCAGAAUUCAGUGAAUCAUCGAAUCUUUGAACGCACAUUGCGCCCGCCAGCAUUCUGGCGGGCAUGCCUGUUCGAGCGUCAUUUCAACCCUCAAGCUCUGCUUGGUGUUGGGGCCCUACAGCUGAUGUAGGCCCUCAAAGGUAGUGGCGGACCCUCUCGGAGCCUCCUUUGCGUAGUAACUUUACGUCUCGCACUGGGAUCCGGAGGGACUCUUGCCGUAAAACCCCCAAUUUUCCAAAGGUUGACCUCGGAUCAGGUAGGAAUACCCGCUGAACUUAAGCAUAUCAA
rnacentral:rRNA from 1 species